CCUAACCCUGCCUAAACGGCUACCCCAAUCCCCAGUACCCCUCCCCUGACCCCUGGACCUGGAGGCUGGAGCUCUCGAAGCCUCUCGUCCUCACCUCAUCACACCAACAAUCUCGAGUCUCAACUUCUUGAGUCUCUUCCUGCCCUCAUCACACCAACACUCUCUUCCUCGCAGUCUCUCUCAGUCUCGAAGACUCUCUUCCUCUGCUUCGUCUCUCCGGCUUCACAGUGUGUCCGAGUAUGUCGGGUUUGUGGCUCCGCAUCUCUCGUCAUCGUCAUCGUGUCUCCUGCGUCGCUGCUAUGGUGCUACCUCUCUGUCGCGUCUCCUCCGUCGCUACUGCGGUGCUGUCUCUCCGUCGCCAGAAUCUGCCUCAUCCUUGGUCUCCAAACUGUGAAAUAGGUUUUCUGUUUUUUUAAGUUAUUUAGUUGGAUUUUAAUUUGAUGAAGGGAGUGAAUAACUGAUAGGUUAAUGGCAGAUUGUUGAUUAUGUACAUAUUGUUGAGUUAUAACUUGUUAUAUUGUUGAACUAGUUAAUGGCACAUUGUUUUUUUUUUUUCUGAUUUGUAGUGGUUGUUUUUGUUGAUGUAAUAUUGCUAUGCUAGAAUCUGUCUCAUCCAGGUUGGUAUGCAAACUGUGAAAUAUGUUCUCUAUUUUUUUUAGAUAUUUAGUUGGAUUUUAAUUUGAUGAAGGGAGUGAAUAACUGAUAGGUUAAUGGCAGAUUGUUGAUUAUAUAUAUAUUGUUGAGUUAUACUUGUUAUACUGUUGAACUAGUUAAUGGCAGAUUGUUGAUUUUUUUUUUCUAAUUCGUAGUGGGUAUAGUUUGUUUUUGUUGAUGUAACAUUGCUGUGCCAGAAUUUGUCUCAUCCAGAUUGGUCUGCAAACUAGAUUUUAAUUUGUUGAAGGGAGUGAAUAACUGAUAGGUUAAUGGCAGAUUGUUGAUUAUGUAUAUAUUGUUGAGUUAUAACUUGUUAUAUUGUUGAACUAGUUAAUGGCAGAUUGUUGAUUUUUUUUUCUGAUUUGUAGUGGCUAUGGUUGUUUUUGUUGAUGUAACAUUGCUAUGCCAGAAUCUGUCUCAUCCAGGUUGGUAUGCAAACUGUGAAAUAUGUUCUCUAUUUUUUUUAGAUAUUUAGUUGGAUUUUAAUUUGAUGAAGGGAGUGAAUAAC